rnacentral:rRNA from 1 species
UGGGGAAUAUUGGACAAUGGGCGCAAGCCUGAUCCAGCCAUGCCGCGUGUGUGAUGAAGGCCUUAGGGUUGUAAAGCACUUUCGUCCGGGACGAUAAUGACGGUACCGGAAGAAGAAGCCCCGGCUAACUUCGUGCCAGCAGCCGCGGUAAUACGAAGGGGGCUAGCGUUGCUCGGAAUCACUGGGCGUAAAGGGCGCGUAGGCGGCCAUUCAAGUCAGAGGUGAAAGCCCAAGGCUCAACCUUGGAAUUGCCUUUGAUACUGUUUGGCUUGAGACCGGAAGAGGUUAGUGGAACUGCGAGUGUAGAGGUGAAAUUCGUAGAUAUUCGCAAGAACACCAGUGGCGAAGGCGGCUAACUGGUCCGGUUCUGACGCUGAGGCGCGAAAGCGUGGGGAGCAAACAG